CCUACGGGAGGCAGCAGUGGGGAAUAUUGCACAAUGGGGGGAACCCUGAUGCAGCGACGCCGCGUGGGUGAAGGAGUAUUUCGGUAUGUAAAGCCCUAUCAGCAGGGAAGAACAAUGACGGUACCUGACUAAGAAGCACCGGCUAAAUACGUGCCAGCAGCCGCGGUAAUACGUAUGGUGCAAGCGUUAUCCGGAUUUACUGGGUGUAAAGGGAGCGCAGGCGGCGCGUUAAGCCUGGUGUGAAAGUCCGCGGCCCAACCGCGGGACUGCAUUGGGAACUGGCGCGCUGGAGUGCCGGGGGGGUAGGCGGAAUGCCUAGUGUAGCGGUGAAAUGCGUAGAUAUUAGGAGGAACACCAGUGGCGAAGGCGGCCUACUGGACGGUGACUGACGCUGAGGCUCGAAAGCGUGGGGAGCAAACAGGAUUAGAUACCCUAGUAGUC
rnacentral:rRNA from 1 species